CACGCACAGUGCUAUCUGUGAGCAGUUCUGUGUUCAUGAGAGUUUGCUACAUGAGAGGCAUAACUCAGCCCAGCCAAUUCAUCAGAAUCAGCAAAUGUGACAGGACAUGAGACACAUGGAAAAGUGGCUGAAGAUGCUGGGAGAAUGGCAGAAAUAUAGGAUGAGCAAGAAGGUCAUGAAAGAAAAGGGCAAGAGGUCCUCUGAACCUAUCCACCAGAUUGACCUGGAGGUGAGCCGGACACUGAGGAAUCACAUAAUAUUUAGGAAAUGAUAUGGCAUCAGGUAAGCCUAUGGGGGCCACAGGGUCCCAGCAGAGAUGAAGUGAACCAGAGGGAUGGAGACUUCCCCAGAGCAAAAACCAGCUUCACCCAGGAGGGAUGACGGAGCUGCCAAGGGCUCUCCUGGCCCAGGGAGGAGCCCGUACCAUGCACUGAGGACCUCCCAGGUUCCAAGCUCUGGGCCAGGCUAGAACAUGUGGGGCCAGAACCCAGAAGGAUCCUGAGGAGACAGAAGGCAGCAAACAAAAUCAUGCACAAUGGUGAAAAGUGCUCUCCCUGACCCAUGGGACCCAUGGUAUGGACCCAUGGGUGGGGGGCAGCAGGAUGGAGGGCUGGUGAACCUCCUCUGGCAACACCGACAGCACCCAAUGCUGGGGGGGGGGGGGACCUGGGGCCCCGGAGACUCCUCUGGCGACACCGACAGCACCCAAUGCUGGGGGCGGGGGCAUUCGGGGCCCCGGAGACUCUCAUCCACAGCUGGUGGAAAUGUGACAUGACACAGCCACUUUGGAAGCCAGUUGGGCAGUCGCUCGCAAAGCUCAGUGGACUCAAACCACACAUCCCCGAAGUGUCACAGACAUUGAACCAACUGAUUUGAAAACUGACAUCCACACUGUAGAAAGUAAAAAGUUCCUUUUCAAAGUUUCCCUUCUUGUUAAAGAAUAAAUCAUAAGUGUUAGAAAUAA
ensembl:lncRNA LINC01743 long intergenic non-protein coding RNA 1743